AGUCAGAUAGCUCCUGCAAGCUCUUGAGCUGGGAGGAUGCUGCAGACCCUGAGGAAGCUGAGGACUGGCCAGGACCACCAGGGCCAUUUACAGACCCAAACACAGAGGCGCUGCAAGCCCUGACAGAGGCCCUCUUCCCUGACAACCAAGAUGACCCUCUACAAAGCCAGGCCACUCAGAAAUGGAACCAACUGAUCAUUGAGAAAAUGGUGGAUGAAACCUCAUAUAACUGGAGGAAGAGUAUGACAAGUUUCCGCCUCUCUUGUUCUAGGAUCUUAUAAAUAACAGCACAUUUUGGAGUUUAAACUUACUGUGCUAACUAUAAAAAUAAACUUAUGUGGUUAAUAGAGACUGAUUCCCUGUGGAAGGUUUUUAAAUGACGUUGGGACGGCAAGGGACUGUUCAGAACAAUAAAAGAAUGAAGGGGACUUAUUGGCAUAUUGGCCAGCACUCUGGUUGGAGGAAGCAGCUUAUUUCUACAGGCAUCAAGAAUGCUGGCAGUCAUCCUGCAUGGUACCCCAAAUCUGAGGGAGAAAGGCACACAUUAGCUUUAAUUUUGACAUCCAGUUGGAGAAGAAAGUGAGGAUAUGUUAAUUGCAGUUGAAUAAAUUAACACAUUUCCAUUACUUCCGGAGGAUUGAAAUGAACAAAUCCAAAAUCUUUAUGGAAACAAGCAAGCAAGGAGUUACAGGUGUGCAGGAGUGGACACUGAAAGCCCUAUCAGACUCUCAGAAGGACCACAGGAAAUUGUAAAAACAGGCGCUUGAGCUAUAGAGUGGGAAGGUUUUUGUGAAGGUCUGGCUUUGUACCCAGUUAUUAUGGGUGAAGUUUUCAGUUUGCUUUCAUGUAAAGCAAUUUUUCUUUCUCUUGUUAUAACUGAUAUACUCCAAAGCCUUGAGGAGGAAUACUUGUUGAC